rnacentral:sRNA from 1 species
GGAGACAUUACCUCAUCCCUCAAGAUUGCUCGCCGCAAACAACGCUGAGAAAUGGCCCAAGUAAGGCGUGAUCAGGGUCUUGCAUUCUUGGCACAUCUAGGAAGAACGUGCAAGGAUGCGAAUUGUGAAUCGCUUCUCCAAACAACUCUCCCAGGGAGCUGGUGGAAAAGACUGGGCCUGAGGACCCUGGAGCGAGGAGUCAAUGGAGGAUGCUGAAGGUUGAGAAGGGCACAGUGCGCAGCUACAGUCAUCAGCAAAAGCAGCUUCCAUCCUGGUGGGGAGGGAGCAGCCAGACCAUUCCAGGACAUCGCUCCUUUGAAUGCUGGGUGCCCACGCCCAGAUGGCCUUUCCCUAAAGGAAUGCAAGCCUGUCACCAUGCAGGCCUCCAGAGGAAGCCUUCAUUCAGAGAUGCAAUGUGCAGGGGAAGCUGCACGUCCACAGAGCUGAGGCCCCAGGCAACCCAGAGCAUCCUAAAACCCCGUGGAACU